rnacentral:rRNA from 1 species
UACAGAGGUCCCAAGCGUUGUUCGGAUUCACUGGGCGUAAAGGGUGCGCAGGUGGUCGGGUAAGUCUGAUGUGAAAUCCCGCAGCUUAACUGCGGAAUGGCAUUGGAUACUAUUUGGCUAGAGGGUUGGAGGGGGGACUGGAAUUCUCGGUGUAGCAGUGAAAUGCGUAGAUAUCGCGAGGAACACCAGUGGCGAAGGCGAGUCCCUGGACAACUCCUGACACUGAGGCACGAAAGCUAGGGGAGCAAACAGG